AAGUCCUUCCGCCGCCGGCGCUAACACAAUAGUGAGCGCCGCGCUGCGGCCAGUCGGCUCCCACUGCUGCUUCUGUUCUGAGGAGCGUGUCGUGUCGGACUUGCACACCUGAGGCCUGCCUUUGGAAUUUCCGUCAGCGGGAAGAGACCGCGGAUGUCAGAAUUGUGUUUUGUUCGGCGAUUAUUGUCCAGCCCCAAAUUCCUUCCUACCAGGAGCUGCUUGUGUGGAAGGUUUUCAGACUUUUUUCCCUGACGAUGAAAGAUUUCAUAUAGUUUCUCGUAAACUUGCCUUCGAUGCCCUUCAUAAUUUUGGUUGAGAGGAUGACUUUAAAAAAGUAAAUGCUGUUCAAAAAUGGAUAAAGAUAAUUACACAAGCAAGUAUACUUGCUAUGCAGCAAGUGUUACCUGUCUGACUCCCCUGAUUCAACUACGAGCUCCUUGAGGGUAGGAGGACAUUACUGUUCUUUAUACCCCUAUUCCUGGAAAUACAUCUGGACCACAGAUCUCCCUUUAUACAAAUAAAAUUUUAAAUGGA